AAAAUCAAAUCAAUUUUUCUUACCUUGUACAAGAAAGAAUAUUUGCAAGUUAUUUGAAUAUUCCGAAAUGGAAUUGGCAAUAUUUCAAAAAGGUUGAGAGACACUGAUUUGCGACGAUAAGCCGAAGAAAAUGCAGAAAUGGGCUCGUGCGCAACUCACCUUGUAUACCGGCCAGUGUUCCCGGCUGGAACACGCGGGAAAGCCUGAAACAUUAGCGAAUACAGUAAAACAGUGAUAUGUCGCAUCGAAAGGGUUUCAUAAACGUCUUGUCGCAUGUAUCGAUUGCCACAUAACGCAACUCCCACGCCAUUUUCGUCUUAGACGCAUUGUCCGCAUCGUUUUCUUACCACAAAUUGUGAAAAUAGUAUCUACACCUCAAUAAUCUUGUAGUUUUAUGAGAAGAUUAACUGACCUGCUGCACAGCUCGAACGGGUGAAACGUUUUCUCCACGGCGCCGUACACUUUGAGGCCUUUUAUUUACAAGUUUAUAAAGAAAAACAUCAGCCUGGAACAGAAAGAAAGGGAAUGCUUAUCGACCUUAAAUUUAAAUCUCUCCAAUCAAAAUUAUGGAAAUGGCAACGGUGAUUUUUCAAAUUAAGGAAAAAAAGGUUCUCGCACGAAUAAUUUAGAACCCAAAAUGCGUACAGAGAAUUGACGAGAGAUCCCUUUCACAGGUAGGCAAAUUCAAUCAUGGGCGUGAAUUUCGAUUCGUCGUGGUGAACGUAAAUAUAGAAAUCGAGGCUGCAGGUAGGAAACGUGAAAAUGGUCUCUGGAAGUGUCGUCUACCGAAGUCAAAUCUCCAGGGAUGAGUUUACGGCAAGCUGAACACCGUUUCAAACGGAAGAGGAAGCGUGUAAGAGAGGGACAAAUACUUUUUUGAAAGUAACAAAUACUCUCCAACCAAAAAAAUGGAAUCACCGGUGAAAAUAUUUAUGAUUGGCCAGGAUUAUUCAACACACGUCCAUACAAGAGAAGCAACCAUGAAACAAUCUCUUUAAGAUAUUAUUUCACAAUAAUAAUUCUUGAUCCAAUACACAUGAAUGGAAUCACCGGUGGAAAUAUCUAUGAUUGGCCACGAUUAUUCAACACACACAAGGGAAACGAGCAACCAUGAAACAAUCUCUUUAAGAUAUUAUUUCACAAUAAUAAUCUUGAUCCAAUACAUAUUUUAAGAAUUGAUCAUAUUCAAUAUAACAUUAAAUGUAACAUAAAUAUGAACUAAAACAAAUUUUAUUUUUCCAGAAAUGGAAUCACCGGUGGAAAUAUCUAUGAUUGGCCAGGAUUAUUCAACACACGUCCACACAAGGGAAGCAACCAUGAAACAAUCUCUUUUCCCAGAAGCCGGACAUCUUAUCCAAACGGCCGAUACACAAAUCCUGGCCAUUUAUCCGUCACAAAAGGCCCACUUUUCAGUUUCUUCUCUCCGGUUUGAUAAAUAGAACGGUUGGAGAGAAAGAGAAAUGGCAAAACUGGACGAAAUGUGGGGGCAGGACGUGCCACGGGGGCGCAGAAGGGUGGUCAUGUGAGAAAUACAUGGGUGUGUGCAGAGGAGAUUGGUCGAGGGGUGAGGACACAGGACACGAGAAAGCUCUUGCGUAUCAGAGGGAUGGUUAUGCCAUUUCUAUGGAACCGUCCAUUUACACAACAGAGACGUGAGCACGCAUCUUGCUGUGUAAUCGAAUUAAAAAAUUGCACGCCAUUUUUGCUGCAGGAAGGAACGUCGAAUUUUGGAAUAGGAUUGUUAUUUAUCACGUGCUAGAUUUAUACUUGUCUAAAGAGAAAUUAUUUUCAAGAACAUUGUUGGUAGUUAAAAUGAAUUGUUGCUGGGAAGAUUGUGUUAUACAAAAUAUUGGAAAAAAUUCAAGACACGAGCUGCAGACAGGAAGUUUCUCUCGUAUAACGGUAGUUAAAAAUUAUCGAGUGGCUGGUAAAAAUAUAGGACUCUUAACCUUGACCCAAGGAUUACAAUGAAAUUUAUUACCCUCAAAGUUUAUUGCUCUCAAACGCACGUUUUCGAUAACACCUCUUGUCACUGUAAUGGGUCGAUAUUUAUCGCCUCGUUAUUCGAGUAAGAGUGGUUUACAUGGAUAGAAAGAUUUUUCGAUAAAUACCUAAAAGAUAUAAGUUAUAAGUAUUUACUUAAAAAUUAAUAUAUUUAUAUGUUAUUUACA
rnacentral:lncRNA from 1 species